GGACUGGUAGUUCAGCGGUAGAACACCUGAGGGAACGCCCGAAGAACUGUUUAAACAGCUCUUCGGGUGUGCCCGAGGGAGACCUGUGGUUCAAUUCCCAGCUGGUCCA